GUCCAUGAGGGCACAGGGCUGUGAGGAAAGGCUGAGGGGGAAAAGCAAAGCAGGAGGAAGGAGCAGAGAGCGGAGGCAGGGAAAUGGGGUCACUCCACGCAGAGCUCCUUGUGGCAAUGUGGAAGCUGCUCCCAGUGGCCACCGUGCUGGAUGCCCUGCAUGGAAUAGGGCUCCUCAAAACAUGCAGGGCCACAGUGCUGGGGUACGCCCUGCCUGGUCUGCUGCCUCACGGAGCCAGCAGGGCUGGGACAGCCUUGGACUCAAACAGAAGGCUCGGCAGGAGUCACCGAGGCAGCUAAUAGUGCAGGGCCUUUGUCACCGUAUUUGGUGCUCACUCGGAAGUUUGCCCUGGCGCAGGGAAUGUCGCCGCUCCGCUGUGGCCAAGAGGAGCUCCUGGGCUCCCUGAAUCCAGGCAGCACAGGCACGGAGCUGCCGCCCCUCCCGGCGGGGCUGGAGCGGCCUCCAGAGUCACGGCUCUGAAUCCAUUCAGGAAUUUCUAAUGCGGCAGAUGGCUCUUUCAUGGUCACGUUUCUGCGUGCACAGGCCGUUUUGUUCUGCUGGGGCUCCUUUCCAGAGGGAGACAGGGGUUUGUGCUAAAUUGAAACUGCAUCUCCCAGAAAUCAUCGCUGUUUGAAGGCCUGAUACAGAGGAGAUGACCGCACUGACUCUUCACAUUUACAUGAGGCUGAAGCAGGAACGAGGCAGCAAAGAUGAUGGCUGCCCCAAGGCAAGGUUUGUGAAGAAAAAUAAUGUCUUUUAUUACACCAAUUCCACUGAAAGAUAUUACUGCUGUCCAUCACCCUUGCCCUUUUUACUUCUUUACAGCAACAACAGAGCUAAGUACGUUUACACCGUUUCCACUCUUUGCAUUCAGUUUCUGACUGGUAAUUUCAUUCUGUCUUAAAGCAGUUCUGUGUAAAGUUUCUCAUUUAGCCUUUUUGGGCUCCGGUGUGUGCAGAAGUGCCAGGCCCUGAGACCAGCUCACAUGGGAACAGCCCACAGUGGUGCUGAGAGACAAAUCCCUUUGUCAGUGGCUCUCACUGUAGGUUAACCAGGUGUGUCUUUUGCUGCUUUUUAAUUUAUGUUUUAGUUUCUCUUCUUGCGAUCUGCAGCCUGUGCUCCGUCUCGGCUGGUGGGGCACAGCAGGACGCGUGUUAUAAAUGAGAACCUUGACAAGGCCAAUAUUCAGGCAGCAAUCAAUUUAUUAAUUACUGUGGUAAAGUAUGAGCAAUACAGUGCUGGGUACAGUGGGGGAAGUUUUCCCUCCAACUGCAUGCCGAUAGUUGGGGCUUACAGGUAUUUAUAGGGGUGCUCAUAAGCUUUCUCAGCAGUUUCUAUUCCAAAUUUUUACAUCACAAUUCUAUACACUAUACCCUGAUAGUUGAGGCUUACAGGUAUUUAUAGGGCUACUCAUAAGCUUUCUCAGCAGUUCCUAUUCCCAAUUUUUACGUCACAAUUCUCUACACUAUUGUGAUUUAGUUUUUCUCAGGAUGUAUCUCAGAAAGGAGUAUCCCCGUAUGGUGGGGUCCAGCUUCCGAAAGAAUUCUCCCAGCUGGUGAGGCUCAGAGUCCAGAUGGGUUCACCUUUUAAUUGCAAGGACUAUCAAUCUCAUACCAGUGAUGUCCAGCUUCCCUUGGUCAAAACUAUCAAUCCUGGAGUUGAUGUUCAUCUUCCUUUCUCAAGCUGCUUUUCACUGCUUUGUUAAGGCAUCAAGAUAAGCAUCUUUCCUUUUUAUAUAUUCUAAAGCUAUAGUUUCAAAGAUCCUUACUACAAGCAAUAUUCCAAAAUUAUACUUCAAAAGGUUAUUGCAGAAGUCUUUAAGGCUUAUCUACAAGCAGAAAGUUCCUGUCAAACAGCAACAUCCUUAAAGCUUUAAUUCAAAUGCUCCUAAAUCAGCUGAAGACUUAUAAAGGUUAAUUGCGAACAAAGGACGGGUUCCAAGGCCUUCUUCCAUGCUUUACCUCCUCAGUUAUUUAUUAGAAUUGUCUUUAUAGCUGUCCCGUGUCGGUUUCCACACCUCCCACAGUCACAGAUCACACGCUGCCUGUGACACCGAGCGCAGUUUUGUGUUCCGCAGCCCAUCCUUGCCGUCCC